rfam:Oryza barthii chromosome 7, whole genome shotgun sequence.
AAAAAGUAAACCCUGGUUUCCGUGUCCAACGUUUGACCGUCUAUCUUAUUUGAAAAAAUUAUGAAAAAAAUUAAAAAGAUAAGUCACGCAUAAAAUAUUAAUCAUGUUUUAUCAUCUAACAACAAUAAAAAUACAAAUUAUAAAAAAAUUAUAUAAGACGAAUAGUCAAAAUUGGAAAAAAAAUCCAGAAUUUGCCUUUUUU